UACAGAGGGUGCGAGCGUUAAUCGGAUUUACUGGGCGUAAAGGGCGCGUAGGCGGUCAUGCAAGUGAGAUGUGAAAUCCCCGGGCUUAACCUGGGAACUGCAUUUUAGACUGUGUGACUGGAGUACUGUAGAGGAUAGUGGAAUUUCCGGUGUAGCGGUGAAAUUCGUAGAUAUUGGGAAGAACACCGGUGGCGAAGGCGGCCAUCUGGCCUGUAAUUGACGCUGAGGCGCGAAAGC
rnacentral:rRNA from 1 species